UACGUAGGAGGCGAGCGUUGUCCGGAAUUACUGGGCGUAAAGAGCGCGUAGGCGGCGCGAUACGCCCGAUGUGAAAGCCCCCGGCUCAACUGGGGAGGGUCACCGGUAACGGCCGAGCUAUGAGUGCAGGAGAGGGAAGUGGAACUCCGGGAGUAGCGGUGAAAUGCGUAGAGACCCGGAGGAACACCAGUGGCGAAGGCGGCUUCCUGGUCUGCAACUGACGCUGUGGCGCGAAAGCUAGGGGAGCAAACGGG
rnacentral:rRNA from 1 species